rnacentral:rRNA from 1 species
UUAUACAGCGAAACUGCGAAUGGCUCAUUAUAUAAGUUAUCGUUUAUUUGAUAGUACCUUACUACUUGGAUAACCGUGGUAAUUCUAGAGCUAAUACAUGCUAAAAAUCCCGACUUCGGAAGGGAUGUAUUUAUUAGAUUAAAAACCAAUGCCCUUUGGGCUCCUUGGUGAUUCAUGAUAACUUCUCGAAUCGCAUGGCCNUUGCGCCGGCGAUGGUUCAUUCAAAUUUCUUCCCUAUCAACUUUCGAUGUUUGGGUAGUGGCCAAACAUGGUUGCAACGGGUAACGGAGGGUUAGGGCUCGACCCCGGAGAAGGAGCCUGAGAAACGGCUACUACAUCCAAGGAAGGCAGCAGGCGCGCAAAUUACCCAAUCCCGACUCGGGGAGGUAGUGACAAUAAAUACUGAUACAGGGCUCUUUUGGGUCUUGUAAUUGGAAUGAGUACAAUUUAAAUCCCUUAACGAGGAACAAUUGGAGGGCAAGUCUGGUGCCAGCAGCCGCGGUAAUUCCAGCUCCAAUAGCGUAUAUUAAAGUUGUUGUGGUUAAAAAGCUCGUAGUUGAACCUUGGGCCUGGCUGGUCGGUCCGCCUCACCGCGUGUACUGAUCCGGCCGGGCCUUUCCCUCUGUGGAACCCUAUGCCCUUCACUGGGUGUAGCGGGGAAACAGGACUUUUACUUUGAAAAAAUUAGAGUGCUCCAGGCAGGCCUAUGCUCGAAUACAUUAGCAUGGAAUAAUAGAAUAGGACGUGCGGUUCUAUUUUGUUGGUUUCUAGGACCGCCGUAAUGAUUAAUAGGGACAGUCGGGGGCAUCAGUAUUCAAUUGUCAGAGGUGAAAUUCUUGGAUUUAUUGAAGACUAACUACUGCGAAAGCAUUUGCCAAGGAUGUUUUCAUUAAUCAGGAACGAAAGUUAGGGGAUCGAAGACGAUCAGAUACCGUCGUAGUCUUAACCAUAAACUAUGCCGACUAGGGAUCGGACGAUGUUAUUAUUUGACUCGUUCGGCACCUUACGAGAAAUCAAAGUGCU